rnacentral:rRNA from 1 species
AGAGUUUGAUCAUGGCUCAGAGCGAACGCUGGCGGUAUGCUUAACACAUGCAAGUCGAGCGAGAAAGUGGCUUCGGCCACGAGUACAGCGGCGGACGGGUGCGUAACACGUGGAUAAUCUGCCUUCAGGUCUGGGAUAACCCUGGGAAACUAGAGCUAAUACCGGAUAAGACCACAGGUUCCAUGGAACCAAGGGUAAAAGGCGGCCUUCGGGCUGUCUCCUGAAGAUGAGUCCGCGUCCCAUCAGGUUGUUGGUGAGGUAACGGCUCACCUAGCCGAAGACGGGUAGCCGACCUUAGCGGGUGAUCGGCCACACGGGGACUGAGACACGGCCCCGACUCCUACGGGAGGCAGCAGUGGGGAACCUUGGGCAAUGGGCGAAAGCCUGACCCAGCAAUACCGCGUGAGGGAUGAAGGCCUUCGGGUCGUAAACCUCUGUCAGCAGGAACGAUGGGUCUCCGUGCUAAUACCACGGAGACUUGACGGUACCUGCAAAGGAAGCCCCGGCUAACUCCGUGCCAGCAGCCGCGGUAAUACGGAGGGGGCAAGCGUUGCUCGGAAUUAC